GCUCUGUCCCUUAUACCACUCAGUUGCAUAGGUAUGUAUAUAUCUAGCCUAGGGAUCUAAGUAACGGUGCCUGUUGGAAUGGAAAUUCCUAAGUGCUCCAAACCACUUCCAUCUACAUCUGGGGGAUGGUUUGAUCAGCAGGGAUACCUCUAGACUUUGAUGACAUAAAGUAAUAGCUCCUACAGGAAGAGUUUAAUUCCAAAUCAAAAGAUGAAUCCAAUCAACAGCAUCGAUGACAAGUGGUCAACUAAACCUGGCUCCUGUUCACCACUUUAUGAAUGACAUGGUCAUUUAUGUAAUCUACAAAACUGGGUUUGGUUUUCUUGGCUUUUUCUCUACUCUUAACCUUAAUUCCUCUUAAUUUCUCUUGUGUAAUACAUCUUUCAUCUGUUCCUCUUCUUUAUUUCCCCUACUGUCACCCAGGACAAGCUUUAUUUCUACCUUCCUGGAGUGUCACAAUUGUCUUCUAAUAGAAAUAUUCUGGUAUCCACCCUAUUCCUUUUCCAAUUCAUUCUUCAUAGCACAAUUUGAUGAAUCUUCCUUAUGCAAAGCCUAGUCAUGCCUUUCCUCUGCUCACAAUUUUUCAGUGGCUCUUUAUUGCCUAUUAAGUUAAAUACUUUUUUGUAACUUUUAAAACCCCCAAUCUGAAACUGCCUUACUUUUCAAAGCAUAAUUAUUACUUCCUUCUUGAUGUCCCAGUCAAGAAAACUCUGUCCUCUCAAAAUGCCCUGUGUUAUUUAGCUUGCCUGUCCUUUUGGUCAUGCUGUUCACUAUGCCUGGGAUAUCUUUCUUCCCUUCCCCUCUUUAUCCCUUAAAUUCCUACCUUUCCUUUGAUACCUCUUUCAAUUGACAUGCACUGUUUGAGGCUUUCCCUGUACUGUUUAUAUUUUUUUAAAAUUUUCUUAUGCACUUUUCUGUUAGUAUAAGUCUAAUUACACUAAAAUGUAACUUUAACACAAGGAUUAUAUUUUAUGUGAAUUUUGGGUUUAAUCUAUCCAGUCUCACUUGUUACAUCCCUAUACAUCUGCUUAAUGUUUAAAGUAAAUUAAAUUGCUGAACAGCCUAUUUCAAAUAAUAAAGAAGUUAAGCGGGAAUAAGAUUCAAAAUGAUUCCAGGUAAGGAGCUUCUUCUAGAUAUGAACUUCCUAUUUCCUUGACCUAAGAGAUUCAGACUGGGUUGUUGCUGAACCCAGGACCCUCAAAGAACAUUUUUGGUUCCUACUGAGGUCAGUUACUCUAGCUGUCCAAGUUGUGACUGUUCCUGAAAUCUCACUGAUGAACUGAUUCUUGGAGUAAAAUUAUCAACCAGUGAAAAAGUUGUGAGUAAAUUAUAACUGAGAAAGGGCUCUAGAAACAUUGUAGGGACUUUUCUCUUAGCUUUAUCCUUACAUCAGAAGGAUUAAAUGUCACCUAGAGCGUACAGAGAGGUAACAGGUUUAUUUCAAGGCCUUCUAGUGAAAGUCUGGAAGGAACAUUCUCUGUGGAUCACAGUUCGGCAAUAGUUUAUUCAAAAUAUAAAUAGCAGAGGGAGGGUGAACUGCAUCCAAGUAAAUUUAAGAAGUAUAUUUUUGGAUGACUUGUAGCUUGAAAACAUUCCACUCUCAGUCAUCCAGAAUGAUGCAUCACUUAGAUUUCAUCUUCCAUGACUGUGCUAUGACACUAACCUCUGAAAUUCUCUUUUCUCAUCAAACUCUAAAUCUACUUCCUAAGUAUAUUCUUUAUCAUUACACUACCUACCAUUCCGUCCAUCAAUCUGUUUUCAAAAUGUCUUUCUCAUGUCUAAUUUUCCUCUUUUAGUCAUAACCUCAUAGCUAAUUGCAAAUCUUCAAUGCCCUUCACCAUUACCCAUGUUUUACCAAUCCUUAACCUGGGCACUCCUACUAUCUGACUUCUCCAUUUUUAAGUCAUUUACCCAAGCUGAGUCUUUUUGAAGUUACAUCUUAGCCCACCUCAACUGUCUCUCCUCACUGAUAUCUGGUGAUCAACUUUUCUUCUGAUUGACUACUGCACUUUCCCCACCCUCCAUCUCAGGUACUAUUUCAAAUCUUCUCUGUCUUCAAGUACUCUAUAGCACUUCAACUUCCCUCUUCCUCAAUGGAUGACAUACUUUACUGAGAAAAUCAAGUGUAGUCAUUCUUCAAACUUGAUAUCCCAUCUUGCAUAAAACAUCCCCCCUACUCUAGAGUAUAAUCCCACCUUAUCCUCCUCUUAGAAUUUUGAUCUUAAAACAGUUCAGAUGCCAUCUCCUCCAUGAAACCUUUUCAGAUAUCUGUAAAUAUGUAUCCUUUCUCUUCUAUAUUAUUUACUUAUGUAUAUGCAUUUUGUAUUUUCUUUCCUUCCAUUAGAGGUCAAAGUACUUUUUUUCUUUAUAGAUAGUAUGUGCUUCAUCAUAGAAUUGAAUUUCAAACAUCCAGAACUCAAAUUUUAACAUUGUUCAAUUAAGAGCUAAAAAAAAAAAAUUAUUAUAAAUCAUGAUAAGAAUACCUAAGAUAUAUGUUGGAUUUAGGUUUCAAAAAUUGCAAAAACUUUCAAUGGGAUAGCAAGUUACGAGACCUGGGUUUCUGGUUUUGGCCUUUAUUGGGCCUUGGCCUGUGGGACUUUGGGUAAGUUAAUUUUCUGGGCCUAGUUCUCCUCAAUUAUAAAUGGAAUAAGAUUGGCCUAGAUCAUUAACUUGCCUCCAUUCUUCAUUAUUCUACAUUACUAACUGCUCUACAUGGUGGGACAGAGUAGUGGAAGAGGUAGGACUGAGAUAAUGAAAGAGAGAAGUAGCUGGCCUUUGAAUGGGAGAAAAGAUGUAUAAAUUUGAGAAGAGUAAAAAUAAGGGAAGAAAAAAGGAGCCAUGGUUCGGGGGAAACAGAUGAUGCCAUAGCACAAGAGAAAAUUGGCAGGAAUUACUUUCCUUUGUUGCUGCUGUCCAUUGCCUAGUCUCUUUCCCCCUAAUAUCUUCAUUACUGAUUGCUGGUAUAGAUAUGUUCUGCUUAGCAAAUAAAUCAGUGGAUCUGGGGAUCCUAAGUGUUGUCUGAAGACUGGGACCUUGGCACCAAGGGACGAGAUACAGGUCUGAAUCUGGAAUGAGCUGAGGAAGGGUUGGGAAUCAUUAUUUCAAAAAGUUAGAAUUCUGAGAUGCCCAUCAACUGUCACCUAGCUGGAGAUCUGAAUCCUGGUGUUUGCUGGGACCAUUUUACGUCACAGGUGAUGGAAAUUCAAAAUAAAAAUAUUAUGGCUCUAAAAGAGAGAUGGAUUGACAGAUACUCAGUGAUAGGAGCUGGUAAUUGUGAACUUGGAAAGUUCUGGGACAAAGGAUCUUACAGAAGACACAAAAUAAAGGAACAAGAGUCAAUCCAAGAGGACAAAUAGAUCAGGAUUGCUUAUUAUACCCAUGUCAGGUCCAUGAUAAGAAUGGCAGUGAAAUAGGAAACUAAGCUGAAUUUCAGCCAACUAGGGUUUAUCUAAAGGAGCAAAAAGGGGAAAACUACCAUUGGAUCUGCCCCUUGAACAGGAUCAUCAUCACAGAUAAGCAAAUCAGUGCCUAGCUUGCUGUGGAAGUUUGUGAGGAAGUCAAAGAAGAUAAACUAACAGCUCUUUAGACCCUCUCAGAAGAAUAAUAACAAUGUUUAUAUAGCAUUUUAAAGUAUUAUCUUCUUUGAUACUUACAACAAUCCUUUGAGAGAAAGAAAUUGAAAAAGUCAUUAAAGAACUCCCUAAGAAAAAAUCUCCAGGGCCAGAUGGAUUCACAAGUGAAUUCUACCAAACAUCAAACAUCAAACAUUUCCAGAGGAAAGAGCUGUCACAGGAGUCUUUUAGCAUUCCUGUAUUUCUGUCAAAGGAUAAAGUUGGGGACCACAUCAAUAUUACUUCAUGGCAUCUAUGGUCUAAGAGUCACAACCAGCUGACCUUCCAUGAAACAGUUUCAGAAAGAAGACCCUGCUAUUGAUCACUACUACUUCCUGCCUUUCUACCAUUAAAGUCACUUCUUAUAUGAGCUCAA
ensembl:lncRNA